AUUGAACGCUGGCGGCAGGCCUAACACAUGCAAGUCGAGCGGUAACACAGGGAGCUUGCUCCUGGGUGACGAGCGGCGGACGGGUGAGUAAUGUCUGGGAAACUGCCUGAUGGAGGGGGAUAACUACUGGAAACGGUAGCUAAUACCGCAUAACGUCGCAAGACCAAAGAGGGGGACCUUCGGGCCUCUUGCCAUCAGAUGUGCCCAGAUGGGAUUAGCUAGUAGGUGGGGUAACGGCUCACCUAGGCGACGAUCCCUAGCUGGUCUGAGAGGAUGACCAGCCACACUGUAACUGCGACACGGUCCAGACUCCUCCGGGCGGCAGCAGUGUAGAAUAUUGCACAAUGGGCGCAAGCCUGAUGCAGCCAUGCCGCGUGUAUGAAGAAGGCCUUCGGGUUGUAAAGUACUUUCAGCGGGGAGGAAGGCGAUAAGGUUAAUAACCUUGUCGAUUGACGUUACCCGCAGAAGAAGCACCGGCUAGCUCCGUGCCAGCCGCCGCAGUAA
rnacentral:rRNA from 1 species